rnacentral:rRNA from 1 species
CAAUAGCGUAUAUUUAAGUUGUUGCAGUUAAAAAGCUCGUAGUCGGAUUUUGGCUGAGAACGAACGGUCCGCCGUUAGGUGUGCACUGGUUGGUCUCAGCUUCCUGGUGAGGAGGUGUGCUUCACGGCCACUUAGUCACCGUGGUUACUUUGAAAAAAUUAGAGUGUUCAAAGCGGGCUUACGCUUGAAUAUAUUAGCAUGGAAUAACACCAUAGGACUCCUGUCCUAUUUCGUUGGUCUCGGGACGGGAGUAAUGAUUAAGAGGAACAGUUGGGGGCAUUCGUAUUUCAUUGUCAGAGGUGAAAUUCUUGGAUUUAUGAAAGACGAACUUCUGCGAAAGCAUUUGCCAAGGAUGUUUUCAUUGA